ensembl:lncRNA
GCUCGUGUCAAAGACGUUGCUCCACCCCCUGCGCCCCCCUCUCCCACAGCGCCUCCACCCGAGCAGGGGGGGUUGUGAAGGCGGCUGGUGCUGCCUCAGGAGAAUCGGUUGGUCUGUCUCUAACCUCCCUAGCCUCCACACACACACACACACACACACACACACACUCACACACACACACACACACACACACGCAGCAGUCACAUCGGGUUUGCCUCACACAGGUGCACUGAUCCCAGCCCCCCCCCCCCUCAGGAUGUCUUCACACACACACACCGUACACAACAACGCCUCCACCCCUCCAGCUCUUCUACGAAUGCAGAAUACUCAGGAUCUCCACUCUGGACAAAGCACAAGAGUUUACAUUUAUCUGACAAUGCUUGAAGAAUCGCAUCAGUGUUUUUAGGAUAAAACGUUUCAUGUUCUUCUCAAAAGGUGUAUGAUUGUUAUUUUUAAGCUGUGUGCAUCAUUACUGUAAGCUUCGAAAAAUUGGUGUGACCGAAUGUCUGGAAAGUUGGAUUAAUCGUUUCAAAAUGAAAUACGGGGCACAUGAAAUCGAAAUGAAUUUGUAUUUGACAAGAAAAAAUUCAUAUUGUUCAAAUGAAUGAAAUUAAUUUUUGAAAUAAAAAGAUAAAUUAGACAGUGUAUUAAUCUUUGACAAUAAUGCAAACAAAUGGUUAAGUCUGUAGUCUGCACAGUGCAUUUAAAUCAACCUAUGGUAAUGGUAAUUUAUGGCAAAGUAUGAAAAAUGUUUCUGUUUCCAUUCUCACUCACAAGAUGAUGUGGUUUCUGAAGCGUCAUUUACCUCCUUGAUCUUCUGUCUUCUUGGAAGUCAUACACAACCUUUCAAUGGAAGUGAAAUUGAGAGCGUGUGAUUGGCUCUCCUCCUGCAUAGAUAGCUGUCAGCAUAAGGUUUUUUUUUUCUUUACUGUAUAUGAUACAUUGACCUGAUACGUGUAUAUAUAUCUCAAUUUUUCUUUCAUUCACAUUCAUCUCAUUCAUAGUUUAUUAUUCUUUGGUCAAUCAUUGCUAGUUUUAAUGUAAUUCAUUUACCUGCAUUCCCUUUCUUUCACACAUUCCCUCUCUGUAUCCCUUUUAUACUGGAUGUAUCAGUGGGAUAUAAAUAUAUUUUAAAAUGUAGAUAUCUUUCAAAUUUCACAAUUUACACACAACAGAUCAUUUUCCUGCACAUAGCUGUAAUACCUCAUAGUAUACACAGUAUCCUAUUUUUCUCAUUUUUUAAUUGUCAUUGAUUGGCCCACCAUACUGGUUUUGCAUGUUACUAUGACAGUGUGUACUAUUUUACAUGUCCUACUCACAUACUUCAUAAUGAUUAUGAGAUCUCUCUGUCAGAAAUACGUGGAUGAUACCCCUGUAUUCAGUGCCUCAGCACAACUCAGUACCUCCAAAGUUUCAGAUCAUGCUCACACUAAGAGUGAGUGCUCCUCUGAGCCCAGAAUCCUUCAGCACAACGUACCUACUUGAUCUACUCUUCAGACAUCACCUACGUGAACAAUGCAAGUCCGCUGAGAGAUGCUUCUGUUUAGCCUGUGGUACCAAUGUUCUCGCCUUCAAUCCCUCCCCUGCCCCACUUACUGCCAAUUACUGUACAUGUUGGCCCUCUCUGUGUGGAAUCAUGAGUGAUACCUUGUCAUGUCAUAAAAAGCAUCCCGCAUUCACCAGACAGCCUUUAUUUUCUUCAAAGCCAAAAAUGUUCUCUUUUUGUUGCAUAUAAAUACAAGUGCUCUGUUUUCAGGACAAACAAAGAUGUUCUCUGCUGGUAAAAAUCACUUUUAGUCUUUUAUAAUUAUAAAGGUUUACUAGAAUCUUUUGUUCAAUUAGAAUAUUUGUUCACAUCUGUUCUUUGUCAGUUUAUGCUAGAUCAUUGUAUUUUGUUCAGGUUAAUUCAGGUUUGUGCCUUUAGGUAGUUUGUCUUGGUUUUCCUUGCUUGUACCUGAAGAAGAGAAAAUUGGAGAUGGUCUUUCUUUAUACCUCAAAGGCAGUAUUUUGUUGUAUUUUUUAAGUUUCUUGGAUACAUUGCUAAUAAAUUUUCCAUGAGUUUUCCUGUCAUACACUUGUUUGUUGUUGUGAUGUUGUUUGUGUUGAUAUUUUAUAUGUCUGUGUUUUUAAUUACAGUGCAUGAAAUGCCCUGUAUUGUUAUUCCUAGGCUUCUUAUACUUCUUCUUCUUCUUACCGACUUCUGCGAUUAAUUCAGCUCGAACCGAACUUAGAAACUCCGUUCAAACUUUGUCGCGUAUGUCUUGUAAACGACACUUAUGCUAUGUAUUUUUCACUUUUCUAAACUUAAUAUCUCCACCCUAGUCUCCACCCGUGCCUCCACCCUUUUCUACACCCAUGCCUACACCCUAGUCUCCACACUAGUCUCCACU